CACGUAGGGGGCAAGCGUUAUCCGGAUUCAUUGGGCGUAAAGCGCGCGCAGGCGGGUGCGCAAGCGGGACCUCUAAGACCGGGGCUCAACCCCGGGCCGGGUUCCGAACUGUGUACCUCGCCCCAGGUAGGGGUAGGCGGAAUUCCCGGUGUAGCGGUGGAACGCGCAGAUAUCGGGAGGAACACCGACGGCGAAGGCAGCCUACUGGGCCUUAGGGGGACGCUGAGGCGCGAAAGCCGGGGGAGCAAAC
rnacentral:rRNA from 1 species